rnacentral:rRNA from 1 species
GAUGAACGCUGGCGGCGUGCCUAAUACAUGCAAGUCGAGCGAACAGACGAGGAGCUUGCUCCUCUGACGUUAGCGGCGGACGGGUGAGUAACACGUGGAUAACCUACCUAUAAGACUGGGAUAACUUCGGGAAACCGGAGCUAAUACCGGAUAAUAUAUUGAACCGCAUGGUUCAAUAGUGAAAGACGGUUUUGCUGUCACUUAUAGAUGGAUCCGCGCCGCAUUAGCUAGUUGGUAAGGUAACGGCUUACCAAGGCAACGAUGCGUAGCCGACCUGAGAGGGUGAUCGACCACACUGUAACUGAGACACGGUCCAGACUCCGACGGGAGGCAGCAGUAGGGAAUCUUCCGCAAUGGGCGAAAGCCUGACGGAGCAACGCCGCGUGAGUGAUGAAGGUCUUCGGAUCGUAAAACUCUGUUAUUAGGGAAGAACAAAUGUGUAAGUAACGAUGCACGUCUUGACGGUACCUAAUCAGAAAGCCACGGCUAACUACGUG